GUGGAUUAGAUACCCUGGUAGUCCACACCGUAAACGAUGAUCACUAGUCGUCGGAGGAUUCGACCCCUUCGGUGACGACGCUAACGCAUUAAGUGAUCCACCUGGGGAGUACGAUCGCAAGGUUGAAACUCAAAGGAAUUGACGGGGGCCCGCACAAGCGGUGGAGCAUGUGGUUUAAUUCGAUGCAACGCGAAGAACCUUACCUGGGCUCGAAGUGCAGUUUAAUCUCAUGAAAGUGAGGUAUCCCUUCGGGGAAGGCUGCAUAGGUGCUGCACGGCUGUCGACAGCU
rnacentral:rRNA from 1 species